rnacentral:tRNA from 1 species
GGAAGGUUAGCAUAAUCGGUAAUGCAGCAGUCUUGAAAACUGCCGUACGUGUAACGCGUUUGCAGGUUCGAGUCCUGCACCUUCCGCCU